CCUACGGGAGGCAGCAGUGGGGGAUAUUGCACAAUGGGGGAAACCCUGAUGCAGCGACGCCGCGUGAGUGAAGAAGUAUUUCGGUAUGUAAAGCUCUAUCAGCAGGGAAGAAAAUGACAGUACCUGACCAAGAAGCCCCGGCUAACUACGUGCCAGCAGCCGCGGUAAUACGUAGGGGGCAAGCGUUCUCCGGAUUUACUGGGUGUAACGGGAGCGUAGCCGGUUAGGUAAGGCUGGAGUGAAAGCCCGGGGCCCAACCCCGGGACGGCUUUGGAAACGGUGUAACUGGAGUACAGGAGGGGCAGGCGGCAUUCCUGUUGUAGCGGUUAACUGCGUAGCUCUCAGGAGGAACCCCGGCGGCGACGGCGGCCUGCUGGACUGCAACUGCCGUUGCGGCUCGACAGCGUGGGGAGCACACCGGAUUAGCUACCCGAGUAGUC
rnacentral:rRNA from 1 species